UGCAAUUAAUGCUGAAACACAGCUAGCAUACAUAGCAAUAACUUAGGCAAAAAGGCAACACUCAAGCAAAAUCCUUCCUGGAAUUAAAAUCCUGUUAUUAGGUCAACCAACUUUUCUUUUAACUAACUAAAUAAACAACAGCAAGACAUGAAACCUAGACCUAUAAGUUUAGUACCUGAAUCUCUUGCUGAUUCAUGCAUUUCUAUUAAUCUUCUCAGUCAGAUGUUUAGCUCAGAUCUGUCCUCUUAUCCAAGCUUUUCCAAGAGUCUCCUAGCUACACUUCUGGCAUCAUGUUACACCCUACAAUCCAGCUCUUCACAGUCUCCUGACUUCUUUUUAAAAGUUGCAUACUAUAUAUACAUCUCUCUCUUGCUUAACAUUCCUCAGUUAUUCCCUAGUGGACACAGAAUAAAGUCUAGCUUCUUAGCAUGUUACUUGGGCUCCUUCAGUGCCAGUCCCCACAAAUUCCUCACUCAUCUUGCAGAAGCUCCCAGUUUUCAAUAUUCUCCUAAAUGCUGUGGAACCUCUGUCUAUGCAGGAUUCUAAAGAUGAGGAAAAUUAGUCCCUUAAGACUCAGCUUAAGCAUUGCCCCUUGUGCCUUUACUGUUAGUUUGCCCCUCUGUUCUUAAGAGUUUAUUCCUGGCAUUGCUCUUAAGGGAAGGAAGUUUGGCAGGGCCAAGAGUCCUAAACGUUAGACCUUUCUCUCUAAACACUAACAACAUUAAAACUCCAUUCAAGAAGGAGCAAAAGAAGCCAUCAUCUAGAAACAAUGUUGAUAACCACAGUUCCUGAACUUGGGCUUGUUAAAAGACUUUAUCUCCAUGAGUAUACUGAAACACAUAUUUAGUUUAUCUCCUAUUAUCAAGAAAGAAAUAUUAAAACUUCACUGUUGAGGAUCACUCUGAAUAUGAAAGUGCUCAAGACAAUCAAUCAGGUCUCGAGAUCUAGAAAUUAGUAUAAGUACUGAGUGCUAGGGGAAAAAAAUUAUACUCUUCAAACUACAUCCCUGGGAGUGUUAGUGAUGUCAUAAUUCACUGAGGAUCUAGAAACUACAGGAUGGAUACUUAUAAAAGAUAAGGGAAGUAUAGUGCAUAGGUUGCUGAGAGGUGGAGAGAAAGUUGCUUACUUUUCCUGAGCCUCAACUUUCUGAAAACAUAGAAACACAAUUAGAUGAUGAGUUAUGAGGUGAAGGAGGGGAUGACUCAGCAGCAAUGUGCCAGCUCCAUAGUGACUUCUCCACCAAGCUGGAGAAGGAUUUGCAGCAAUGGUUCCAGAACCAACUGUGUGUAUCUACAGGAUGAAGAAACUAAGGCAACAAGCAGGAUACAUCCAGCUGUGCUACCUGGGAGGAGUCCUCUCUUCUAUAAUCAAACUCAACAGAAACAGGCCCUUGCUUCUGGGACAUCAAACAUGAAGAGGCUCCUGUUCUGCAGAAAAUAAAUAAGGCGAUAUCAAAGAUUUGUAGAAAUUUUGAUUAAGACACUUUCUCAGUCUUUCCACAUAGCAGACACUGAACUACUGACAUGUGCUGUAGCUAGAAUUGAGCCUGUGGACUUUUAUCUUUGCCUUUGAAUUCUGUUAUAUUGACAUUAAUUUGGACACUCAAUAAAAAAUUAACAAAAUGAUCAUUUAGACUAUGAUCAUUUAGACUGUAUCACUUUUGGCCAAGAGCUGGGGACACAGUGGUGAAUAAGACACAGGCCUAUCCUGAUUCUUUCUAUGUUGCCCAGGCUGAUCUCAGAUUCCUGGGCUGAAGUGAUCCUCCUGCUUCAGCCUCCAGAGCAGCUGGGAUUACAGCAGCUUCAGUGCUGAGGCUAAUGGCAAAGGAAACACCAGGGGAUCAGUGAGUAAGAACUUGUCAAGGGAACAAAGUCUGAAGAUGGAACGGAGGAAGAGGAGAAAAUCUUCCACCAAAAAAAAUAUUAAAAUCUGAUCUUCAAGGAAAUACUGAAUCCACAUAGCACUCCCCUCCGCUCCCUUCUUAGGCACAGCAUUACUCACCAUCUCACAGAGGAGAAACAGAAAUAUAAAAUAAAAAGUGGAAACAAUCAUUAAAAAUACUUAGCCACUCCCACGUGUCCUGGGAAACUGAGAACACAGUAACUACCAAACAAAUUACAUGAUGUCACAUGCCAGAUACCUAAAGGAUAACAUCACCCCAUCUUCAGAAACAGAAGAAAAUAAAAUAGCAAAAGCAAGA
rnacentral:lncRNA from 1 species